rnacentral:tRNA from 1 species
GGUGAUCGUCGGCGAGCUGGCCCGCGCCCUGGGACUGCGCUUCCCGGAGCUGGUCCUCGUGCGGUUCGACCCGGCGAUCGCCG